GAUGAACGCUGGCGGCGUGCCUAAUACAUGCAAGUCGAACGAAGUCUUCGGACUUAGUGGCGAACGGGUGAGUAACACGUUGGUACCUACCCCGAAGUGGGGAAUAACUGCCCGAAAGGGUGGCUAAUACCGCAUAAUACCGCAAGGUUAAAGCAGUAAUGCGCUUCGGGCGGGGCCUGCGUCCCAUUAGCUAGUUGGUAGGGUAAUGGCCUACCAAGGCGACGAUGGGUAGCGGGAUCGAGAGGUUGACCAGCCACACUGGGACUGAGAUACAGCCCAGACUCCUACGGGAGGCAGCAGUAAGGAAUCUUCCACAACGGACGAAAGUCUGAUGGAGCAACGCCGCGUGCAGGAUGACGGCCUUCGGGUUGUAAACUGCUUUUAUACGGGAAGAUUAUGACGGUACCGUAUGAAUAAGGACCGGCUAACUACGUGCCAGCCGCCGCAGUAA
rnacentral:rRNA from 1 species